UACGUAGGCAGCAAGCGUUGUUCGGAAUUACUGGGCGUAAAGAGUGUGUAGGCGGUGCUCCAAGUCUGGUGUGAAAUCUCCCGGCUCAACUGGGAGGGUGCGGUGGAGACGGCCAGACUAGAGGCACUCAGAGGCCGGUGGAAUUCCCGGUGUAGUGGUGAAAUGCGUAGAGAUCGGGAGGAACACCAGUGGCGAAGGCGGCCGGCUGGGGGUGACCUGACGCUGAGGCGCGAAAGCGUGGGGAGCGAACCGG
rnacentral:rRNA from 1 species